UACGUAGGGGGCAAGCGUUGUCCGGAUUUAUUGGGCGUAAAGAGCGUGUAGGCGGCAAGACAAGUCCGUUGUGAAAACUAGAGGCUUAACCUCUAGACGUCGAUGGAAACUGUUUGGCUAGAGUCCGGAAGAGGAGAAUGGAAUUCCUGGUGUAGCGGUGAAAUGCGCAGAUAUCAGGAAGAACACCCGUGGCUAAGGCGGUUCUCUAGUACGGUACUGACGCUGAGACGCGAAAGCGUGGGGAGCGAACAGG
rnacentral:rRNA from 1 species